AGUGAACGCUGGCGGUAGGCCUAACACAUGCAAGUCGAACGGCAGCACAGUAAGAGCUUGCUCUUAUGGGUGGCGAGUGGCGGACGGGUGAGGAAUACAUCGGAACCUACUUUUUCGUGGGGGAUAACGUAGGGAAACUUACGCUAAUACGGCAUACCACCUACGGGUGAAAGCAGGGGAUCUUCGGAACUUGCGCGAGUGAAUGAGCAGAUGUCGGAUUAGCUAGUGGGGGGGGGAAAGGCCCACCAAGGAGACGGUCGGUAGCUGGUAUGAGAGGAUGAUCCACCACCUUGGAGCUGAGACUGGGCCGCGACACCUGCGGGAGGAAGCAGUGGAGAAUAUUAGACAAGGCGGGAGAGCCUAAUCCAGGACAAUCGGGUGAAUGAAGAAGGACUCAGGGUUGGAAAGCCCUUUUGUUGUGAAAGAAGUGCAGCAGUUUUGUACGGCGCGGUACUGACGGUACCCGAAGAAUAAGCACCGGCUAACUUCGUG
rnacentral:rRNA from 1 species